rnacentral:lncRNA from 1 species
AGACACACACACACACACACACACACACACACACACACACACACACACACACACACACACACACUCACACACACACACACACACACACACACACACACACAUACACACACAUACACAUAUAUAUAUAUAUAUAUAUACAAAAACAUACACACACACACACACACACACACACACACACACACACACACACACACACACACACACACACACACACACACACAACA